rnacentral:rRNA from 1 species
CGAAGAACCUUACCUGGUCUUGACAUCCCGGAGACCCUUAGGAAACUAAGGGGGUGGCUUCCAUCUGGAAGAAUCUGGAGACAGGUGCUGCAGGGCUGUCGUCAGCUCGUGUCGUGAGAUGUUGGGUUAAGUCCCGCAACGAGCGCAACCCUUGCCUUUAGUUGCCAGCAGUUCGGCUGGGCACUCUAAAGGGACUGCCGGUGUUAAACCGGAGGAAGGUGGGGAUGACGUCAAGUCCUCAUGGCCUUUAUGACCAGGGCUACACACGUACUACAAUGGCCGAUACAAAGGGCAGCGACACUGCGAGGUGAAGCCAAUCCCGUAAAAUCGGUCUCAGUCCGGAUUGGAGUCUGCAACUCGACUCCAUGAAGUUGGAAUCGCUAGUAAUCGUGGAUCAGCAUGCCACGGUGAAUACGUUCCCGGGCCUU